rnacentral:rRNA from 1 species
AGUCGAACGGAGUUAUGAUGUGAGCGGGAAGUGCUUGCACUAAACAGUCUUUUCAUAACUUAGUGGCGGACGGGUGAGUAACGCGUGGGUAACCUGCCCUGUACUGGGGGACAACAGUUGGAAACGACUGCUAAUACCGCAUAAGCGCACGGGAUCGCAUGAUCGUGUGUGAAAAACUCCGGUGGUACAGGAUGGACCCGCGUCUGAUUAGCUGGUUGGUGAGGUAACGGCCCACCAAGGCAACGAUCAGUAGCCGACCUGAGAGGGUGAACGGCCACAUUGGGACUGAGACACGGCCCAAACUCCUACGGGAGGCAGCAGUGGGGAAUAUUGCACAAUGGGGGAAACCCUGAUGCAGCGACGCCGCGUGAGUGAAGAAGUAUUUCGGUAUGUAAAGCUCUAUCAGCAGGGAAGAAAAUGACGGUACCUGACUAAGAAGCCCCGGCUAACUACGUGCCAGCAGCCGCGGUAAUACGUAGGGGGCAAGCGUUAUCCGGAUUUACUGGGUGUAAAGGGAGCGUAGACGGCAUGGCAAGUCUGAAGUGAAAUGCGGGGGCUCAACCCCUGAACUGCUUUGGAAACUGUCAGGCUGGAGUGCAGGAGAGGUAAGUGGAAUUCCUAGUGUAGCGGUGAAAUGCGUAGAUAUUAGGAGGAACACCAGUGGCGAAGGCGGCUUACUGGACUGUAACUGACGUUGAGGCUCGAAAGCGUGGGGAGCAAACAGGAUUAGAUACCCUGGUAGUCCACGCCGUAAACGAUGAUUACUAGGUGUUGGGGAUUUAUAAAUCCCCGGUGCCGUCGCAAACGCAAUAAGUAAUCCACCUGGGGAGUA